UCCAUUCCUCCCUAACUCCUUCUUGGGCUGCAGAAUGGGCCUCAUUUGCAGGUUUGGUUACCAGUUAUCAACUUCCACUGUGAUAAAGGACAAUUAGGAUACAACAUUGAUACCCCAAAGCACUCCAAUCAGUUUCACUAUUUGGCCUGAUUUUAUGUGUCUGUUUCCUAUCCCUCCCUAACUCCUUCUUGGGCUGCAGAAUGGGCCUCACUUGCAGGUUUGGUUAUCAGUUAUCAACUUCCACUGGGAUAAACGACAAUUAGGAGGUGGUGGGGACAGGAGUCCUGCCUGUGAAGUCCCAGUUAAUCACCAAGCCAUACAACCUCCCCUAAAGAGUCAAGAGCGGAUGCAGGCUGUUGAUGUUUUUCAUUCAAAGCUCGCAAUGCACCGUUCUGAAAACUCUCCAGCGUAGAAUUCAGGAACCCUGAGUUUUCUAUCUCUGUCUAGUUCUGGACUGAAUGGGCUCAAGUCAUCUAGUUAACCUCUCUGGAUUUCAGUCUUCUGAAAAGUGAAGCUAAGAGAUCUAGCAUUCUGCAGAAAAGUACUGGAGAUGACUCAGGACUGAAAAUGAUCAUGAAGCCCCUUUGCAAAUAUCAAAGUGGUGAUGAAGCAGUCAUGAACUUUGACCAGAAGCCGUGUUUUGUGGGAUUGCCACUUUAAUCGCUCCUGUUCAUCAUUAGGACUGCAGCCAGAGUGUGGAAGGAGUGACAGCACAGAGGAAGAGAUGGUCCAAGACCAAAGAGGAAAGAAAUGGCAUAAGAUGGGACAGUGUUCUAUGAUCUCUAACUGGCCAAAGAAAAAUGAGAAACAAAUUUAAAAGAAGACAGUUGGAUGACUUAAACACCACCCCUGAGAGGCAGCUGUUUCCAGAAUAUUGCACAAUUUAUUGAGUUCAUGAGAAUCGUGAUCGUUGGCAGCACCGAACUUCACGGAGGGAAUCAUAGGCACUUUAAUUCCAAUUUGUUGACUUAUGGAGGAAGAAAUUUCUCCCAGUGGUGUCCCUUCAUCCAGGAACAAGAGCCAUCAAAGUGUCACAGACUUAGAGCCGGAAGGGCUCUCCGCUAGUGUUUCUGCCAGUCCUCUUGGUUUUACACAUGAGGAAACUGAGGCCCAGAGAAGUUACCCAGUAGCAGAUCUGCAAGUCACCCAGUAGCAGAUCUGCAAGGAGCUCUUAGCAAUCCUGACUCCAAGUGUAAUGCUCUUGCAUUAGCUCUGUGCUGCCUCCUAGAUGUUGGUCUUCUUAAUGUUGAUAGCACAUUUGCUCAAAUGUUUGCUAAUAUGGUUUGGCUGUGUCCUCACCCAAAUCUCAUCUUGAAUUGUAGUUCCCAUAAUCCCCACUUGUCGUGGCAGGGACCCAGUGGGAGGUAAUUUAAUCAUGGGUGUGGUUACCCUCAUGCUGUUCUCAUGAUAGGGAGUGAAGUCUCACGAGAUCUGAUGGUUUUAUAAACAAGAGUUCUCCUGCACAAGCUCUGUUGCCUGCUGCCAUGUAAGAAGUCCCUUUGCUCUUCCUUCAUCUUCCGCCAUGAUUGUGAGGCCUCCCCAGCCAUAAGGAACCAUGAGUUCAUUAAACCUCUUUUUUUAUAAAUUACACAGUCUCCAGUAUGUCUUUAUUAGUAGCGUGAGAACAGACUAAUACA
rnacentral:lncRNA from 1 species